AACGAACGCUGGCGGCAGGCUUAACACAUGCAAAUCGAACGCAUCGCAAGAUGAGUGGCAGACGGGUGAGUAACGCGUGGGAACAUCCCCUUUUCUACGGAAUAGCUCUGGGAAACUGGAAUUAAUACCGUAUACGCCCUACGGGGGCAAGAUUUAUCGGGGAAGGAUUGGCCCGCGUUGGAUUAGCUAGUUGGUGGGGUAAAGGCCUACCAAGGCGACGAUCCAUAGCUGGUCUGAGAGGAUGAUCGGCCACAUUGGGACUGAGACACGGCCCAAACUCCUACGGGAGGCAGCAGUGGGGAAUAUUGGACAAUGGGCGCAAGCCUGAUCCAGCCAUGCCGCGUGAGUGAUGAAGGCCUUAGGGUUGUAAAGCUCUUUCACCGAUGAAGACAAUGACGGUAGUCGGAGAAGAAGCCCCGGCUAACUUCGUGCCAGCAGCCGCGGUAACAC
rnacentral:rRNA from 1 species